rnacentral:rRNA from 1 species
UACGUAGGCGGAUUCGCAGGCAUCUUGUGAAAUCCCUCCGCUCAACGGAGGAACUGCAGGGUGAACCGCGUGUCUUGAGACAGGUAGGGGCUGUCGGAACGCUAGGUGGAGUGGUGAAAUGCGUUGAUAUCUAGCGGAACGCCGAAGGAGAAAUCAGGCAGCUGGGCCUGUUCUGACGCUGAGGUACGAAAGCGUGGGGAGCGAACAGGAUUAGAUACCCUGGUAGUCC